UUUAGUGUUGCACCCAACACUCCUCUACCCACGACGACUCGACACACAACAAGCUCUCCCUCGAGCUCUUCAAUUCUUGUGCUCAAAGCCCUUAUUGUGGCCAUUGUUUCCUCUGCCAAAGCCAUCAUCAUGACCUUAAGAGCAUUAUCCCUUACUGUUAGCUUAUUCGUAGUAGAAUUAAGCACCCAUUGCAUCUCUUUCACAU
rnacentral:lncRNA from 1 species